UACGUAGGGUGCAAGCGUUAAUCGGAAUUACUGGGCGUAAAGCGUGCGCAGGCGGUUAUGUAAGACAGAUGUUAAAUGCCCGGGCUUAACCUGGGAACUGCAUUUGUGACUGCAUGGCUAGAGUUUGGCAGAGGGGGGUAGAAUUCCACGUGUAGCAGUGAAAUGCGUAGAUAUGUGGAGGAACACCGAUGGCGAAGGCAGCCCCCUGGGUCAAGACUGACGCUCAUGCACGAAAGCGUGGGGAGCAAACAGG
rnacentral:rRNA from 1 species